rnacentral:rRNA from 1 species
GACGUACGCUGGCGGCGUGCUCAACACAUGCACGUCGAACGGAAAGGCUCUGCUUUUGUGGGGUGCCUGAGUGGCGAACGGGUGAGUUACACGUGAGUAACCUGCCUUAGACUCUGGUAUAACUUCAGGUUCCUGGGGCUAACACCGGAUAGGAGCUCCUGCUGCAUGGUGGGCGUUGGAAAGUUUCGGCGGUUGGGGAUGGACUCGCGGCUUAUCAGCUUGUUGGUGGGGUAGUGGCUUUCCAAGGCUUUGACCGGUAGCCGGCCUGAGAGGGUGACCGGCCACAUUGGGACUGAGAUACGGCCCAGACUCCUACGGGAGGGAGCAGUGGGGAAUAUUGCACGAUGGGCGGAAGCCUGAUGCAGCAACGCCGCGUGCGGGAUGACGGCCUUCGGGUUGUAAACCGCUUUCGCCUGUGACGAAGCGUGAGUGACGGUAAUGGGUAAAGAAGCACCGGCUAACUACGUG